UCCCUGGAGGUCCAGUGGUUAAGACUUUGCAUUUCCAAUGCAGGGGUCAAGGGUUCAGUCCCUGAUUGGGGAA
rnacentral:tRNA from 1 species